GUAGGUGGCGAGCGUUAUCCGGAAUUACUGGGCGUAAAGCGCACGUAGGCGGUUGCUUAAGUCUGACGUGAAAGCUCCUGGCUUAACUGGGAGAGGACGUUGGAGACUGGGUGGCUUGAGGCGAUGAGAGGGGCGUAGAAUUCCCGGUGUAGUGGUGGAAUGCGUAGAUAUCGGGGGGAAUACCAGUGGCGAAAGCGGCGUCCUAGCAUCGGCCUGACGUUCAUGUGCGAAAGCGUGGGGAGCGAACGGGAUUAGAUACCCCGGUAGUCCACGCGGUAAACGAUGAGCACUAGGUGUGGGGAGUGUUAAAACUGUCCGUGCCGAAGCCAACGCGUUAAGUGCUCCGCCUGGGGAGUACGGCCGCAAGGCUAAA
rnacentral:rRNA from 1 species